UCAUGCAGAAGUUUGGUGGACAGUUCCACCUUGCCUCCAGCUUCUCUGAGGGUGUUCGUGCUCGCAACAUCUGCCCUUCUGUGCCAUCCUAUGAGAGGCGCUUCACCACAAGCAGCUACAUGACUCAGAACCUUGGCAUCAGUGUCCCAAUCAUGUCAUCUUCUCCAAUGUUUGCCAAUGCACCCCCUGAGAAGAAAGGUGUCAAGAACUUUGCGAUUGAUUUCCUCAUGGGAGGAGUGUCAGCUGCAGUUUCCAAGACUGCUGCAGCUCCCAUUGAGCGUGUUAAGCUGCUUAUCCAGAACCAGGAUGAGAUGAUCAAGGCUGGCAGGCUCUCUGAGCCAUACAAGGGUAUUGGUGACUGCUUUGGGCGCACCAUCAAGGAUGAAGGCUUUGGCUCAUUGUGGAGAGGAAACACUGCUAACGUCAUCCGUUACUUCCCAACUCAGGUAUCCAUCUUGUGUUGUUGUUGUUGUUGUUAUGCUUAUUUUCAUUAGCUUUCAUGGUCACAUGAUGGUAAUGGUGUAUGUUGAAUACCCAUUCUUUGUCUUUGAACUUCGAAUGAUCUGUGGCAUUUAACAAUCUGGCUGUAAUGUUAUUUGUGAUGAUGCUCGUGAUGGUAGUCUAAUAAACAUCUCUAUCAUCUUUUUGUCUUCUGUUCUUGAAUGCUACUUUUGUGUACAGCUGAUGCAUUUCAGGAGAUUGAAUUGAAUGUCUCUGUAUCCAGAAAUUGUAGUUCAAAUAUUUCAUUUUUAUAUUGUAGUAUGCUUGUACCAGUUAUUGCAGAAUGAUUCUUUUGCUAUCGUUAUCUUGUUCUAACUUACUCUAAUUCGUUUAUGUCUUUUUCCUAGGCUUUGAACUUUGCUUUCAAGGAUUACUUCAAGAGGAUGUUCAACUUUAAGAAGGACAAGGAUGGUUACUGGAAGUGGUUUGGUGGCAACCUUGCUUCUGGUGGUGCCGCUGGUGCUUCCUCGCUGUUCUUUGUGUACUCCCUUGACUAUGCUAGGACAAGGCUGGCCAAUGACGCAAAGGCAUCCAAGGGUGGAGGUGAAAGGCAAUUCAAUGGCCUGGUUGAUGUCUACCGCAAGACUCUCAAGUCAGAUGGUAUUGCUGGGCUUUACCGUGGAUUCAACAUCUCCUGUGUUGGAAUCAUUGUCUACCGUGGUCUGUACUUUGGACUCUAUGAUUCUCUGAAGCCAGUUCUCCUCACUGGCACUCUCCAGGUUUGUUCUAGUACCUUGCCAUAUACUCUUCUAUCUUCAAAUUUCUCUUGUUUGCGUGACAACCACUGACAUCCUUGCUCACCAUUCACCUGUUUGCAGGACAACUUCUUUGCCAGCUUUGCUCUUGGUUGGUUGAUCACCAAUGGUGCAGGUCUUGCAUCUUACCCCAUUGACACUGUCCGCAGAAGGAUGAUGAUGACCUCCGGAGAGGCCGUCAAGUACAAGAGCUCCUUGGAUGCUUUCCAGCAGAUCCUGAAGAAGGAGGGUGCCAAGUCCCUCUUCAAGGGGGCUGGUGCCAACAUCCUCCGUGCCAUUGCUGGUG
rnacentral:lncRNA from 1 species